UGGAUCCAGACUUUGAUUCUGGCUCAGGAUGAACGCUAGCUACAGGCUUAACACAUGCAAGUCGAGGGGAAACGAUAUUGGGAGCUUGCUUCCGAUAGGCGUCGACCGGCGCACGGGUGAGUAACGCGUAUCCAACCUGCCCAUCACUUGGGGAUAACCUUGCGAAAGUAAGACUAAUACCCAAUGAUAUCUCUAGAAGACAUCUGAAAGAGAUUAAAGAUUUAUCGGUGAUGGAUGGGGAUGCGUCUGAUUAGCUUGUUGGCGGGGUAACGGCCCACCAAGGCAACGAUCAGUAGGGGUUCUGAGAGGAAGGUCCCCCACAUUGGAACUGAGACACGGUCCAAACUCCUACGGGAGGCAGCAGUGAGGAAUAUUGGUCAAUGGACGAGAGUCUGAACCAGCCAAGUAGCGUGCAGGAUGACGGCCCUAUGGGUUGUAAACUGCUUUUAUAAGGGAAUAAAGUGAGUCUCGUGAGACUUUUUGCAUGUACCUUAUGAAUAAGGACCGGCUAAUUCCGUGCCAGCAGCCGCGGUAAUACGGAAGGUCCGGGCGUUAUCCGGAUUUAUUGGGUUUAAAGGGAGCGUAGGCCGGAGAUUAAGCGUGUUGUGAAAUGUAGACGCUCAACGUCUGCACUGCAGCGCGAACUGGUUUCCUUGAGUACGCACAAAGUGGGCGGAAUUCGUGGUGUAGCGGUGAAAUGCUUAGAUAUCACGAAGAACUCCGAUUGCGAAGGCAGCUCACUGGAGCGCAACUGACGCUGAAGCUCGAAAGUGCGGGUAUCGAACAGGAUUAGAUACCCUGGUAGUCCGCACGGUAAACGAUGGAUGCCCGCUGUUGGUCUGAAUAGGUCAGCGGCCAAGCGAAAGCAUUAAGCAUCCCACCUGGAGUACGCCGGCAACGGUGCAACUCAAAGGAAUUGACGGA
rnacentral:rRNA from 1 species